rnacentral:tRNA from 1 species
GCCGGAAUAGCUCAGUUGGUANAGCAGAGGACUG